rnacentral:rRNA from 1 species
UACGGAGGGUGCGAGCGUUGUCCGGAAUCAUUGGGCGUAAAGGGCGCGUAGGUGGCCCGGUCAGUUCGUGGUGAAAGCGCGGGGCUCAACCCUGCGUCGGCCAUGAAUACUGCCGCGGCUGGAGCACUGUAGAGGCAGGCGGAAUUCCUGGUGUAGCGGUGAAAUGCGCAGAUAUCAGGAGGAACACCGGUGGCGAAGGCGGUUCUCUGGGCAUGACCUGACGCUGAGGAGCGAAAGUGUGGGGAGCGAACAGG